rnacentral:rRNA from 1 species
CCUACGGGCGGCAGCAGUAGGGAAUAUUGCUCAAGGGAGGAAACCCUGACGCAGCAACGCCGCGUGGAGGAUGACGGUUUUCGGAUUGUAAACUCCUUUUGUUAGAGACGAUAAUGACGGUAUCUAACGAAUAAGCACCGGCUAACUCCGGGCCAGCAGCCGCGGGAAUACGGAGGGUGCAAGCGUUACUCGGAAUCACUGGGCGUAAAGGGCGCCGCGGACGGAUAGGAAGGCAGAUGUGAAAUCUUAUGGCUUAAACAUGGAACUGAAUUUGAAACUGCUAUUCUAGAGUAUGGGAGAGGUAGGUGGAAUUCUUGGUGUAGGGGUAAAAUCCGUAGAGAUCAAGAGGAAUACUCAUUGCGAAGGCGACCUGCUAGAACAAAACUGACGCUGAUGCGCGAAAGCGUGGGGAGCAAACAGGAUUAGAUACCCCUGUAGUC